rnacentral:rRNA from 1 species
CCUACGGGAGGCAGCAGUGAGGAAUAUUGGUCAAUGGACGAGAGUCUGAACCAGCCAAGUAGCGUGAAGGAUGACUGCCCUAUGGGUUGUAAACUUCUUUUAUAUGGGAAUAAAACGUUCCACGUGUGGGAUUUUGUAUGUACCAUAUGAAUAAGGAUCGGCUAACUCCGUGCCAGCAGCCGCGGUAAUACGAAGGAUCCGAGCGUUAUCCGGAUUUAUUGGGUUUAAAGGGAGCGUAGGUGGAUUGUUAAGUCAGUUGUGAAAGUUUGCGGCUCAACCGUAAAAUUGCAGUUGAAACUGGCAGUCUUGAGUACAGUAGAGGUGGGCGGAAUUCGUGGUGUAGCGGUGAAAUGCUUAGAUAUCACGAAGAACUCCGAUUGCGAAGGCAGUUCACUGGACUGCAACUGACACUGAGGCUCGAAAGUGUGGGUAUCAAACAGGAUUAGAUACCCGUGUAGUC